rnacentral:lncRNA from 1 species
GGACACAUCCUGAAUCCCUGCCGGCUGGCCACACACCCUCCCCAGGGACAUCUGCCAGGCUGGGGGCUUGUGGAGACCUGGACAACAUGGCCAGGGCUCGGGUGCCCCUGCUCCCAUGCCAGCCCGUGCCCUGCUGUGUGGACAGGGGGAUGGGGGGAACAGCCAGCACUGGGGCAGCCCCAGCUCAGCCCCCACCUGCUGCUGGACGAGGGGCAGUUUUGGGGACGGCAGCGGGUCAGCGUACCUGCUCAGCGCUGCCUCUGUGGCGGCUGCUACGUGACACGGGGGGCUCAGCACCAAAGCAAACACUUGGUCAUGUCCGGAUCAGCACCAGUGCCAGAGAAGGGAGACGAUGCUCGGAAGGGAUGGGGCAGGACCCUGCUCCCCCUGGGCUCGCUGCUGGGUCCCUGCCAGAGCGGGCAGGGGAAGGAGCCGCAGAGCCGCUCGGCAGUGGGUGAGCACAGCCUGGUGCCAGCAGGAGCCCCACCUUGGAGAGCAAAGUUCAGCUGUGAUCCUCCACCCCAUCAGUGCCAGGAUGCAGAGCAGGGACCUGCCAUGUCACCCAGUGCAGGGCUGGGCAGCAUCUGCAGCAGUCCCAUCCCAGCCAUAAACUCAUCACGAGACAGGCCAUAAAACCAGCACGCUCCUGCUCUCUGCAGCCUCCGGUGACCCUGGCUCAGGCUGCAGCCACUGCUGGCACUGCUGGCACUGCUGGCACUGCUGGCACUGCUGCCCCUCUGUCCUGGGGGGCAAGAGCCUCCUGUGCAAGCCUCAUGCCCCAUCUCCAUCCACCCUGCUCCCACCUCUGCUGUGGUGGGGGCUGUAGUACCAGCAGCACCUCGAUCCUGGCAGCAGGUUCAUGCCNCCCCCCCCCCCCCUCCUGGCAUUUGCUCGUGGCUGCUGUCACCUUCACAGCACCCAGGCCACCCUGCACCUCUCUCCAGCAAGGCUAGAUCCUCCCCGGCACACAGGAUGAGAACAAGACAUUGUGGACACACUGAAGCACACCCACAGCCCCCCCGGCACUGGGACCACCAGACCUAGGUGGCCCAAUCCUGCACCAUGCUGCCUGGAGAAGAGUUCCCCAGCCCUAAACCCACCGACCCUCUCCCUCUCCCCAGCAAAGGAAGGGACCCACCGUGCCAAGGUGCCAGGCUGCUGCUGCCCCGCUCCCCGCUGCUGCUCUCUCUGGGGAGGGCGCCCAGCUGGUGAGUCAGCGCUCGGCCGGGGCUGCCAGAGCCCUGCGUCUCCUUUUGGCCCAGCUCCUGCACGUACAUUAACUCUCCCCAGGGGAACCUUGUUCAGACCUGUGCAAGCAGCUCCCGCUGCCCCCAGACCCCGCUGUCCCCCCAGCCACCAGCCGGCUGAGCUGGGCACCUGCCCCACGGGAGCGGGGCGAGGGCAGGGGGAUGAUGGACCCGGGGCCAGGGAAAGGUGGACCCGGGGCCAGGGGCAGCAGAUCUCAGUACAGCAGGGGGUCCUAGAGUGGGGGUCCCAGGGUGGAGGGUCUCAGUGCACAGGGCAGUUCCUGGGUGGUGGGUCUCAGUGUAGGGGGGGGUCCCAGGGCAGGCAGUCCCAGGACAGCGGGGGUCCCGGGCCGCGGGCGUACUCACUGCUGGGCACUGCUCCCGGUGCGGAGGCGGACGCAGGGCCCUCGGACAUCGCUCCCGCUGCCAACAACAGCCGCUCCCGGCAGGUGCGGAGCGUGGCUGGGCAUGCCGGGACCUGUAGUCCGGCUGUCCCUGGCCUGGCUCCCUGGGGACCCCCACACGCAGCUCUGGCUGUGUAGGGUCAGGUGUCCCCCAGCCCCGCUUCCCCCCGAAUCCCUGCUCCGGUGGGACUGGGGGCCUUGGGACGAGCAGUCCUGCCCCAGUGAGGGGACCCCAGUGUGGAUGAGGGGCACGUCCCUGCCCGUGGUCCCGGGAGGUGCUGAGCCCUGUGGCCGUGCCCUGGGGAUGGCCGCAGGACCCGACUCCUCCUGGGGCAGAUGCUCUGG